UACGUAGGGGGCGAGCGUUGUCCGGAUUUAUUGGGCGUAAAGAGCUCGUAGGCGGUUCAUCAAGUCGGUCGUGAAAGUUCAGGGCUCAACCCUGAAAUGGCGAUCGAUACUGUUGUGACUAGGAUACGGUAAAGGUGAGUGAAAUUCCGAGUGUAGCGGUGAAAUGCGUAAAUAUCGGAAGGAACAUCAGUGGAGAAAGCGCCUUCCUGGUCCAACACCGACGGUCAGGCCCGAAAGCGUGGGGAGCAAACAGGAUUAGAUUCCCUCGUAGUGCACGCCAUAACCGAUGAGGACUAGACGUCGGAGGGGUUAGCCUUUCAGGGUCGCAGCUAACGCGUUAAGUCCUCCGCCUGGGGAGUCCGGCCGCAAGGUUGAAACUCAAAGGAAUUGACGGGAACCCGCACAAGCGGUGGAGCAUGUGGUUUAAUUCGAUGCAACGCGAAAAACCUUACCUGGCCUUGACAUUCACGGAAUCCUGCAGAGAUGCGGGAGUGCCGCAAGGAACCGUGAGACAGGUGCUGGAUGGCUGUCGUCAGCUCGUGUCGUGAGAUGUUGGGUUAAGUCCCGCAACGAGCGCAACCCUUGUCCUUAGUUGCCAUCAUUAAGUUGGGAACUCUAAGGAGACCGCCGGUGACAAACCGGAGGAAGGUGGGGAUGACGUCAAGUCAUCAUGCCCCUUAUGUCUCAGGGCUGCACGCAUGCUCCAAUGGCAAGUACAACGAGUCGCAAUACCGCGAGGCGGAGCAAAUCUCUUAAAGCUUGUCUCAGUUCGGAUAGGAGUCUGCAACUCGACUCCAUGAAGUUGGAGUCGCUAGUAAUCGCAAAUCAGCCAUGCCGCGGUGAAUACGUUCCCGGGUCU
rnacentral:rRNA from 1 species